GUUAAAACAUAAAUAAAAGACCCUAACCCUAAAGGAGCUACAACAAGGUCCAGUACGGUACCGCCUGCAUCUAACCCUUAAUGAGCUACAACAAGGUCCAGUACGGUACCGCCUGCAUCUAACCCUAAAGGAGCUACAACAAGGUCCAGUACGGUACUGCCUGCAUCUAACCCUUAAUGAGCUACAACAAGGUCCAGUACGGUACCGCCUGCAUCUAAGCCUAAAGGAGCUACAACAAGGUCCAGUACGGUACCGCCUGCAUCUAACCCUUAAUGAGCUACAACAAGGUCCAGUACGGUACCGCCUGCAUCUAACCCUUAAUGAGCUACAACAAGGUCCAGUACGGUACCGCCUGCAUCUAACCCUAAAGGAGCUACAACAAGGUCCAGUACGGUACCGCCUGCAUCUAACCCACAAUGAACAACAAGGUCCAGUACGGUACCGCCUGCAUCUAACCCUUAAUGAGCUACAACAAGGUCCAGUACGGUACCGCCUGCAUCUAACCCUAAAGGAGCUACAACAAGGUCCAGUACGGUACCGCCUGCAUCUAACCCUAAAGGAGCUACAACAAGGUCCAGUACGGUACCACCUGCAUCUAACCCUUAAUGAGCUACAACAAGGUCCAGUACGGUACCGCCUGCAUCUAAGCCUAAAGGAGCUACAACAAGGUCCAGUACGGUACCGCCUGCAUCUAACCC